UACCAGCACCCCGAGUGGUCGGGACGAUUAUUGGGCCUAAAGCAUCCGUAGCCGGUUCUGCAAGUCCCCCGUUAAAUCCAACUGCUCAACAGAUGGGCCGCGGAGGAUACUACAGAGCUAGGAGGCAGGAGAGGCAAGCGGUACUCAGUGGGUAGGGGUAAAAUCCGUUGAUCCAUUGAAGACCACCAGUGGCGAAGGCGGCUUGCCAGAAUGCGCUCGACGGUGAGGGAUGAAAGCUGGGGAGCAAACGGG
rnacentral:rRNA from 1 species